GAUGAACGCUAGCGGGAGGCCUAACACAUGCAAGCCGAGCGGUAGAAAGUAGCUUGCUCCUUUUGAGAGCGGCGUACGGGUGCGGAACACGUGUGCAACCUGCCUUUAUCUGGGGAAUAGCCUUUCGAAAGGAAGAUUAAUGCCCCAUAACAUAUUGAUUGGCAUCAAUUAAUAUUGAAAGCUCCGGCGGAUAGAGAUGGGCACGCGCAAGAUUAGCUAGUUGGUGAGGUAACGGCUCACCAAGGCGAUGAUCUUUAGGGGGCCUGAGAGGGUGAUCCCCCACACUGGUACUGAGACACGGACCAGACUCCUACGGGAGGCAGCAGUGAGGAAUAUUGGACAAUGGGUGCAAGCCUGAUCCAGCCAUCCCGCGUGAAGGAUGACGGCCCUAUGGGUUGUAAACUUCUUUUAUACAGGGAUAAACCUACUUACGUGUAAGUAGCUGAAGGUACUGUAUGAAUAAGCACCGGCUAACUCCGUG
rnacentral:rRNA from 1 species